rnacentral:rRNA from 1 species
AUUGAACGCUGGCGGCAGGCCUAACACAUGCAAGUCGAACGAGUGGCGGACGGGUGAGUAAUGUCUGGGAAACUGCCCGAUAGAGGGGGAUAACUACUGGAAACGGUAGCUAAUACCGCAUACUAUCGGAUGUACCCAUAUGGGAUUAGCUAGUAGGUGGGGUAAAGGCUCACCUAGGCGACGAUCCCUAGCUGGUCUGAGAGGAUGAACAGACACACUGGAACUGAGACACUGCCCAGACUCCUACGGGAGGCAGCAGUGGGGAAUAUUGCAAAAUGGGCGAAAGCCUGAUGCAGCAAUGCGGCGUGUAGUAAGAAGGCCUUCGGGUUGUAAAGUACUUUCAGCGGGGAGGCGUUACCCGCAGAAGAAGCACCGGCUAACUCCGUGCCAGCAGCCGCGGUAAUAC